GCACAACAACGAUCAAUGCACAUUUAAACAGCGUCGGCACCGUGGAAUCCACGCCAGACGGAUGUGUGAGUACCUGGGUUUCCUCCACCACGAUGCUCACACAUAUACAUUCAACAACACAGGCCUCAACUGAAAGGCAGUCACAUCCACAGACGGCGAGCUUGCAGAACGCGGCAGAAGGCCGCGCGGAGGUUGAGGCUGCAGUCAGAAAUAGGCAGCGACUUCUCAGAAGAGGCUCCCGGUAGUCGCAGUAUGACUGGAGAGCCGAGGCAACUCACCGGCUGCGCCUCUUGCUCACGUCGCAUCCAGUGACGCGCGAGGCCGUUCCCGCAAGCGGAAUCAGUUUGAGAGAAGUCUGUUAGGUGCACCUGCGAUAGUGCCUCUGAAUGCUUGUGGUUGGUUUUGUUUGAGUCGCGGCCAACUGACAAAUGUCAAGUCGAGCCACUUUUUGUUGUUGGGCGAUUACAAAAAUCACCGUGAGCACGGUUCUCUUUGCAUGACACAAAUAUCUGAAGUCCGGCUUCCUUCUAGGUCCCAAUCUGCGUUUGCCUCUUUUCAUUAUUAACGUUUGACCCUCGCAUAUCUGUGUUGAGAUUCCGCUCCCAGAGGUGCAUGUGGGGAGCCGAAUGCCCCAAAAAAAAAGCUUUCAGUGAUUGUGGUCGACUGCGAAGCGAAGCGACUGCCGGGUUUGGCUUUG
ensembl:lncRNA